rnacentral:rRNA from 1 species
UACGUAGGUGGCAAGCGUUUGUCCGGAAUUAUUGGGCGUAAAGCGCGCGCAGGUGGUUCCUUAAGUCUGAUGUGAAAGCCCACGGCUCAACCGUGGAGGGUCAUUGGAAACUGGGGAACUUGAGUGCAGAAGAGGAAAGUGGAAUUCCAAGUGUAGCGGUGAAAUGCGUAGAGAUUUGGAGGAACACCAGUGGCGAAGGCGACUUUCUGGUCUGUAACUGACACUGAGGCGCGAAAGCGUGGGGAGCAAACAGGG